rnacentral:ncRNA from 1 species
AUAUUAGCUAUGAUGAAGAGUAGUAAACAGAUUUUAGCAUGUUAAGAGAGCUUGUGGAUGGUGAAAACAAGUCAUGCUCCCUGUCGAAUGGACUUCUGAGCUUCGAACCGAACAUCUAGUAUAAGUAGGCUUCGACGUAACUCAAACGAUAGAUGAGAGCAUGAUUUCAUGCAUGAGUGAUUCCUUAUUUGGAAUAACUAGAGUGGUACCGCGGUUUAAUCGUCUCUAUG